rnacentral:lncRNA from 1 species
GUUGGGGAGGGGCCCGAGGGCCCCGGGGGGCGGGGACGGCUGCUGGAACGACGGAGGGAAGGGGCCAAAGGAAGAGAGGAGGGAGGCAGGCAGGCAGGCAGGCAGGCAGGCAGGCGGCCAGCCGGACCGCUUGGAAGGCUUUACGCUAUGUCUGCUUGGACCAGGAGCCCCGCGUGGAACAAGGCCGGCGUCCAACUUCUCUUCCGUCUUCCUCAGUGCUUACUACAGGGCCGGGCGUAACAGCUUAAAGACCACAACGAUCUGCUGCAUCGUUGGUGCAUCCAACGUGGGCUCCGGAGACGAGGAGGCGCGUCCAGUCGUCGAGCUGGCUGAAAAUCGUCUCGGUGAGAGCGGGUCACUCUGCUUGGCUUCUCGGCGUAGGUUCAUUACGUUAUGUCUCCUCCAGGAGGACUGUGGACGUCGAGUCAAUCGCUGUUUUGUUGAGCGAUUGAAAGCUCUGCCGAAUUCCAUCGGAUUGAACAGUUUCAUGUCAGUCGAUAAACAGAAAGCCAACGGGCAUUUGGUAUUCUCGUCAUUUUUCUGUUAGCUGGCAGAGGUAGUGGACGUGGUCAGUAGUUUAGCAUCUGGAGC